AUUGAACGCUGGCGGCAUGCCUUACACAUGCAAGUCGAACGGUAACGGGCCUUCGGGUGCCGACGAGUGGCGAACGGGUGAGUAAUACAUCGGAACGUGCCCGAUCGUGGGGGAUAACGAGGCGAAAGCUUUGCUAAUACCGCAUACGAUCUACGGAUGAAAGCAGGGGGCCGCAAGGCCUUGCGCGGACGGAGCGGCCGAUGGCAGAUUAGGUAGUUGGUGGGAUAAAAGCUUACCAAGCCGACGAUCUGUAGCUGGUCUGAGAGGAUGAUCAGCCACACUGGGACUGAGACACGGCCCAGACUCCUACGGGAGGCAGCAGUGGGGAAUUUUGGACAAUGGGCGCAAGCCUGAUCCAGCCAUGCCGCGUGCAGGAUGAAGGCCUUCGGGUUGUAAACUGCUUUUGUACGGAACGAAAAGCCUUCUUUUAAUACAGGAGGGUCAUGACGGUACCGUAAGAAUAAGCACCGGCUAACUACGUG
rnacentral:rRNA from 1 species